rnacentral:misc_RNA from 1 species
UAUGAAGAACGCAGCGAAAUGCGAUAAGUAAUGUGAAUUGCAGAAUUCAGUGAAUCAUCGAAUCUUUGAACGCACAUUGCGCCCCUUGGUAUUCCGAGGGGCAUGCCUGUUCGAGCGUCAUUAUAACCCCUCAAGCUCAGCUUGGUGUUGGGGCCUGCUGCACUGGCAGCCCUUAAAAUCAGUGGCGGCGCCAUCUGGCUCUAAGCGUAGUAAUUCUUCUCGCUAUGGAGUCCUGGUGGAUGCUUGCCAUCAACCCCCAAUUUUUCUAUGGUUGACCUCGGAUCAGGUAGGGAUACCCGCUGAACUUAAGCAUAUCAAUAAGCGGAGGA